rnacentral:lncRNA from 1 species
UUGUUUUAAAUACUGGAAGAUGGUCACCUCUUACAAAGAGGGAGUUUGUUGGAAUAAUUCUCUCCUUUAAGGAGGAUAUGGAGAAAGAUCUCGGCCCUGACGAGAGAAAGUUUGAGUAAACUUAACCAUAAUACUGAAGGUUAUUGGGCUGAUGGCAGCAAGCUUUUGUCAUUUCCAAUUGUGAGACAAUGGAGUGCUUAAGCUUGUGAUUAUAUUGGCCAUCAGUGGUUGAUUGAUGAAUGUUAUGAACUCUGUCCUG